GCCCACAUAGCUCAGUUGGUAGAGCACCUUCUUGGUAAGAAGGAGGUCUCCGGUUCGAGUCCGGAUGUGGGCUCCA
rnacentral:tRNA from 1 species